rnacentral:rRNA from 1 species
GAGUAACGCGUAUCCAACCUUCCGUACACUCAGGGAUAGCCUUCCGAAAGAAAGAUUAAUACCUGAUGGUAUGAUGAGAUUGCAUGAUAGCAUCAUUAAAGAUUUAUCGGUGUACGAUGGGGAUGCGUUCCAUUAGGUAGUAGGCGGGGUAACGGCCCACCUAGCCAACGAUGGAUAGGGGUUCUGAGAGGAAGGUCCCCCACAUUGGAACUGAGACACGGUCCAAACUCCUACGGGAGGCAGCAGUGAGGAAUAUUGGUCAAUGGACGAGAGUCUGAACCAGCCAAGUAGCGUGAAGGAUGAAGGUCCUACGGAUUGUAAACUUCUUUUAUAAGGGAAUAAACCCUCCCACGUGUGGGAGCUUGUAUGUACCUUAUGAAUAAGCAUCGGCUAACUCCGUGCCAGCAGCCGCGGUAAUACGGAGGAUGCGAGCGUUAUCCGGAUUUAUUGGGUUUAAAGGGAGCGCAGACGGGUCGUUAAGUCAGCUGUGAAAGUUUGGGGCUCAACCUUAAAAUUGCAGUUGAUACUGGCGUCCUUGAGUGCGGUUGAGGUGUGCGGAAUUCGUGGUGUAGCGGUGAAAUGCUUAGAUAUCACGAAGAACUCCGAUUGCGAAGGCAGCACACUAAUCCGUAACUGAC